GAUGAACGCUGGCGGCGUGCCUAAUACAUGCAAGUCGAGCGAACAGACGAGGAGCUUGCUCCUCUGACGUUAGCGGCGGACGGGUGAGUAACACGUGGGUAACCUACCUAUAAGACUGGGAUAACUUCGGGAAACCGGAGCUAAUACCGGAUAAUAUAUUGAACCGCAUGGUUCAAUAGUGAAAGACGGUUUUGCUGUCACUUAUAGAUGGAUCCGCGCCGCAUUAGCUAGUUGGUAAGGUAACGGCUUACCAAGGCAACGAUGCGUAGCCGACCUGAGAGGGUGACCGGCCACACUGGAACUGAGACACGGUCCAGACUCCUACGGGAGGCAGCAGUAGGGAAUCUUCCGAAAUGGGCGAAGGCCUGACGGGGCAACGCCGCGUGAGUGAUGAAGGUCUUCGGAUCGUAAAACUCUGUUAUUAGGGAAGAACAAAUGUGUAAGUAACUAUGCACGACUUGACGGUACCUAAUCAGAAAGCCACGGCUAACUACGUG
rnacentral:rRNA from 1 species